GGGUGCAAUUAUUGGAGCAAAACCAGUCUCGUACUGUUUGCUAACUCUGGAUAAUUCUGCUUAUCGCAUGGUCUCGUACCGGCGAAGUUUCUUUCAAGUAUCUGCUUUAUCAACUAUCGUUGGUAGUUUAUUGGACUACCAUGGUGUUGACGGGUAACGGAGAAUCAGGGUUUGACUCCGGAGAGGGAGCCUUAGAAACGGCUACCAUGUCUAAGGAUAGCAGCAGGCGCGAAAAUUACCCAAUAUCAAAACGAUGAGGUAGUGACAAGAAAUAACGAGAUCGUUCUCUUUGAGGUCGGUUAUCGGAAUGAGUACAAUCCAGAAAUUUUAACGAGUACCUACGAGAGGGCAAGUCUGGUGCCAGCAGCCGCGGUAAUUCCAGCUCUCGUAAUGUAUAGAAUUAUUGUUGCGAUUAAAAAGUUCGUAGUUGGAUUGUUGAGCGGGAAUGGGUCCACCUUCGUGGUGCGUACUCAAUGCCCGCAUUUUGUUGGUUUUCGCGGCGUUGACUUGUCAGCGUCCGUGAUGCCAGCAGGAUUACUUUGAACGGCUCAAGUGCUCAAAGCGAGUCUUAUGACUGAAUACCGGUGCAUGGAAUAAUGGAACAAGGUUGCGGCCGAGUUUUAUUGGUUUUGUCGGCUGAAACAAUGGUUAACAGGAACAGCCGGGGGCAUUCGUAUCGCUGCGCGAGAGGUGAAAUUCGUGGACCGUAGCGAGACGCCCGACAGCGAAAGCAUUUGCCAAGAGUGUUUUCAUUAAUCAAGAACGAAAGUCAGAGGUUCGAAGGCGAUUAGAUACCGCCCUAG
rnacentral:rRNA from 1 species